GGGCUCAUAGCUCAGUUGGUUAGAGCGUUGCGUUGACAUCGCAAAGGUCGGUGGUUCGAACCCACUUGAGCCCA
rnacentral:tRNA from 1 species